GAUGAACGCUGGCGGCGUGCCUAAUACAUGCAAGUCGAGCGAACGGACGCGAAGCUUGCUUCUCUGAUGUUAGGGGCGGCCGGGUGAGUAACAAGUGGAUAAUCUACCUAUAAGACUGGGAUAACUUCGGGAAACCGGAGCUACUACCGGAUAAUAUUUUGAACCGCAUGGUUCAUAAGUGAGAGACGGUCUUGCUGUCGCUGAUAGAUGGAUUCGCGCUGGAUUAGCUAGUUGGUAGGGUAAUGGCUUACUAAGGCAACGAUGGAUAGCCGACCUGAGAGGGGGGUCGGCCACACUGGAACGGAGACACGGUGCAGACGCCUACGGGAGGCAGCAGUAGGGAGUCUUCCGCAAUGGUCGGAGGACUGACGGAGCAGCGCCGCGGGAGUGGUGAAGGACUUCGGAGCGUAGAACUCUGUUAUCAGGGAAGAACAUGUGUGUAAGUAACUGUGCACGUCUUGACGGUACCUAAACAAAAAGCCACGGCUAACUACGUG
rnacentral:rRNA from 1 species